rfam:Felis catus isolate Cinnamon breed Abyssinian chromosome A3, whole genome shotgun sequence.
GCCUGGGUGGCUCAGUCGGUUAAGCGUCCGACUUCAGCUCAGAUCAUGGUCUUGUGGUUUGUGGUUUCGAGCCCCACAUCGGGCU